rnacentral:rRNA from 1 species
UACGGGGGGGGGCAAGCGUUGUUCGGAAUUACUGGGCGUAAAGGGCGCGUAGGUGGUUGUGUAAGUGAGAUGUGAAAUCCCCGGGCUCAACCUGGGAACUGCGUCUUAUACUGCAUAGCUUGAGUACAUGAGAGGGUAGUGGAAUUUCCGGUGUAGCGGUGAAAUGCGUAGAUAUCGGAAGGAACACCAGUGGCGAAGGCGGCUACCUGGCAUGAUACUGACACUGAGGCGCGAGAGCGUGGGGAGCAAACAGG